GUCCCGUAUCUCAAUUUACCUGUUUACUAGUCAUUUGGACGGUAAACGACCUUUACUUUCACUUUUACUUUCGGUUUAGUGCUUUUAGUGGCCCUAAAAAUUGACUUUUUGUUCGGGUCAAAAUUUGAGAAAAUGUUCUUCAUGAAAGUUGUAGGGGACGUUAAACCGAGCGCGUACAUAUGUGGUACGUAAAAAUCGGAGCUCGUAUGCAAAAGUUAUAAGCAAAAAUGUGAAAAUUACUGUUCAUGGUAAGUAGUAUAUAUUUGAAUUUUUCACUGUGGCCGGUAACUUUUUCUUUUUCUCUUUCUCUUCCCCCGCGUGUUCUCUCUCUCGUCCCCGAGCUCUUGCUCUCUCUCUCUCACCUCUGCAACUCCGGUUGCUUUCUCUUUCCGGCCACCAAAAAGCGUAAAACCGGUGGCUACGGACUCGUCUCGACCUCCUCUUGGUGCCUGCGGUGAUGGCUCAUGGCGGCUUGGCCGGAAAAUGACGCAUCGAGCUGUGGAAGUUUCACUGUAGCAGAAGUGGUCAACGCCAGUUUCUCCCGAUUCCGGCCACCUCCGGCGACGAACCAUAAUCAUUUGGAAGCGCCUUGCGAUGUAGAUGAUGCUCCCCAAAUAUUUUGCAGCGAUUUGAAGCGUGGAGGAAGAAUUGAAGGGCAAUGUUGCGAGCUACGGCUAGAUGAAGGAACUCGUUUGCGUGGUCGCCCAUUAGUACUUUUGCAGGCGCUAUUAGUUGAGGUCGGGCGUACAUGGAUCGAGGCAUAGUUGACGAAUAGCUUCCGCGCUUCUUUGUUUGGCUCUGAUCUAUUGUGGGUUACUAUUUUGGGUAGUCCUCUUUAGGGGUGACUCGACCAGUUCUCGGUAGAGUUAUCUCUAAGGUGGGCCCCGCAGGGCCACCUCGGAUUUCAGGGUGAAAUUCGGGGCGGGUCCUGUCACAGGUCAUCCAUCGUCCCUCUGCUAUUGACUGCGCACGAUCCCGACCGUGCUCCUAAACCAGCGACUUCCGGCCAGCCCCGCGACAGCAGCUUCAUCCGCCGACCCCACCAAAGAGCACCAGACCACCGCUCGCCAUCAGACACGAUCUCCUCAACCACGUCUCUCAAAUCCCAGCAAUCCAGACCGGAUCCACUCUGAUUGAGAGCCAAACAAUCUCACCUUUGACCCGUCCCUGAUGGACAGACAAUCAGACCCGUCUGGCUGCACGCACAACGCGCCGACGAGGUCAAUGACGACGCCGAGGCGGAGGGCCGCCGGACGAGUGCAAAGACGGCUAGGGUUUUUUCUUGUUUUUCGCUCUCGGCGCUCAAGACCGAAGAGAAUAUAUAUGAUCCGUUGGUUAUCAUAAAAAAAGGGCCAUGUUUAAUUAAUGUAGUUUUUAUGCUUUGAUGUAGUUUUUAUGUUCCUAAUACAUAAAAAAGGGUGCAAUUAUUUCUACCUUGGUAUAGUUCACUACACCUUAUCUACUCACUACACUACUUAAGAGUAAAGACAUUAGUCAAAGGGUAUUGUAGUUAGACCAAUGGGGUGCAAUGAGCAUUUUGUAAUGUCACAACAUCCCAUCUUUUGAACCAAGUGCCAAACGUUGUCAAGGACUUUUCAAUAGUUUGAAGCGCUUUUGUCAAGUUUAUAAUAAAGUAAUAAAUUGUGCUAUACUCAU